UGGGGAAUUUUGGACAAUGGGGGCAACCCUGAUCCAGCCAUGCCGCGUGAGUGAAGAAGGCCUUCGGGUUGUAAAGCUCUUUCGGCGGGGACGAAACGGUCCGUGACAACACCACGGACUAAUGACAGUACUCGCAGAAGAAGCACCGGCUAACUACGUGCCAGCAGCCGCGGUAAUACGUAGGGUGCAGGCGUUAAUCGGAAUUACUGGGCGUAAAGCGUGCGCAGGUGGCUCCUUAAGUCAGAUGUGAAAUCCCCGGGCUUAACCUGGGAACUGCGUUUGAAACUGAGGAGCUAGAGUGUGGAAGAGGGGGGUGGAAUUCCAGGUGUAGCAGUGAAAUGCGUAGAGAUCUGGAGGAACACCGAUGGCGAAGGCAGCCCCCUGGGCUAACACUGACACUCAUGCACGAAAGCGUGGGGAGCAAACAGGAUUAGAUACCCACGUAGUCCCUGAGCGGGCUGGCAAGGCGCAU
rnacentral:rRNA from 1 species